UUUAUUUUGGAGGAAGCAAUUACAGGGGAUUUUGCUUUGGUGAAAGCCUGGAAGGCGGACCGAGCAGGAAACGUGAUUUUCAGGAAAAGUGCAAGGAAUUUCAACUUGCCAAUGUGCAAAGCUGCAGAAACCACAGUGGUAGAGGGGAAGAUGGUGAAAGGAAUGGGAGGUGCUAUGGAUUUAGUGUCCAGUGCGAAAACCAAAGUGGUGGUCACCAUGGAGCAUUCUGCAAAGGGAAAUG
rnacentral:lncRNA from 1 species